UCCCAGACUCCUACGGGAGGCAGCAGUGGGGAAUAUUGCACAAUGGGGGGAACCCUGAUGCAGCGACGCCGCGUGGGUGAAGGAGUAUUUCGGUAUGUAAAGCCCUAUCAGCAGGGAAGAACAAUGACGGUACCUGACUAAGAAGCACCGGCUAAAUACGUGCCAGCAGCCGCGGUAAUACGUAUGGUGCAAGCGUUAUCCGGAUUUACUGGGUGUAAAGGGAGCGCAGGCGGCGCGUUAAGCCUGGUGUGAAAGCCCGCGGCCCACCCGCGGGACUGCAUUGGGAACUGGCGCGCUGGAGUGCCGUAGGGGUAGGCGGAAUUCCUAGUGUAGCGGUGAAAUGCGUAGAUAUUAGGAGGACCCCCGGUGGCGAAGGCGGCCUGCUGGACUGCAACUGACGUUGAGGCCCGAAAGCGUGGGGAGCAACCAGGAUUAGAUACCCUGGUAUC
rnacentral:rRNA from 1 species